rnacentral:rRNA from 1 species
GAGAUUGGCGGUUCCCCUUCGGGGGACAGGGUGACAGGUGGUGCAUGGUUGUCGUCAGCUCGUGUCGUGAGAUGUUGGGUUAAGUCCCGCAACGAGCGCAACCCUCGACCUUAGUUGCCAGCAUUCAGUUGGGCACUCUAAGGUGACUGCCGGCUAAAAGUCGGAGGAAGGUGGGAUGACGUCAAAUCAUCAUGCCCCUUAUGACCUGGGCUACACACGUGCUACAAUGGUUGGUACAACGAGUUGCGAGUCGGUGACGGCGAGCUAAUCUCUUAAAGCCAAUCUCAGUUCGGAUUGUAGGCUGCAACUCGCCUACAUGAAGUCGGAAUCGCUAGUAAUCGCGGAUCAGCACGCCGCGGUGAAUACGUUCCCGGGCCUU